rnacentral:sRNA from 1 species
CGCGAGUGGUCCCCGGGCCGGUUGCCUGGCCAGCAGCGGCAGCGGGAGCUGUCCGGAGGCCGGCGUCGAGGGUUUGCCGCUGUCUCUGCUAUUCCAUCCU